AGGGAAAUUCCUCCAGGGCUGAGUCACAGGGAAGAAAGCGAUUUCCUCCGCCUCUUCCAAAGCGGAUUUUAUAACCUGACAGCGUGCUGGAACUUCUCUGCUGGACUCCUGGACUCCCACAAUGUGGCUGUUUCUCUGGAUCCAGAUGCAGCUCAUCCCAACCUCAUCCGAUCUGAGGGUAGAAGAUACACUUCUUCAACGGAGAAUGUUCCCCGAACUGGGAUGCCCCCACACACCAAGGACAAGGGGAAUCCAAAACCAUCUUCAGUGUUCUGGGUUUACCACAGGGGAGACAUUACUUUACCACAGGGGAGACAGACAUUACUGGGAGGUAGAAGUAAAUAAUGGGGACAGAAGUUGGACCAGGAACGAGAUGAGCUCUGGGUGUUUGUUCAGCACAAUGAAGAGAGAGUGGUGGUUUGUAGAAAGUCCAGAGAAGAAUUUCUGCAUGGUGACAUGUGAAGAAGGAAGGGUCAUGGCUCUCACUUCCUGCCCAGAGACUCUGUCAGGAGCCUCCCUGUCCCCCUAGAAGGUUUCCAGGACAGCAAGGCUGGAGACGUGUCUUUUCACAACGAGGUCGAUUAGUCCCACAUCUAUUCUCUUACUGGAAUCACCUUCUGUGGGAUUUUCCAUCCUUAUUCUAGCCUUCAGAGUGCUGGCACAUCUGUGACCUUCUGCUUAGAUCAUCAUGAAAAUUGUCCUGAUUCUUUUCCAGUUACCCCUGUAACUUCUUUAACGAGUUGUGAUAGAGAUGUUGCCCAGGAAGCUAAUGUUCUAUUAGCAUAAUAAGCAGCGAAGUGUUGGCACCUCUGCUGUCUCCACUGGAGCAUCUUCUAGGUACAUUCACCAGGAAAGCUGUCCUUGGAUGGUUGUGGGGCUAGACAAGAAGGAAAAAAAUCACUGUCCUCAUGGAAGUUAAAUUGUACUGACAAAGGAGGAAAAUGUCAGGGAGUUAACAAUUCAGUCUCUGUGGCUUCCUCCUGUCCUCUCCCUGAAACUGAGAUCCAGCCAAUCUGCACAUUUAUUCUGAGAGUGGCCCCACUUUAAUGACUACACCCAGCUGUCUACACACCAGGAGGGGAGGGAACUGUAUCCUGAGGCACCAACCCGAUUACCCACCCAACAGCCACAGGGACUUCCAGUGACUGGGGCAUCAUCCUCAAUGCCACCAACCCCUCUCCUUCCUGUGGCUUUUCUAACUGGAACUGGAACUCAGAAAGUACAUUAAUCACCAAUUUGGGAAGCUAUAGGAAAGUAUGUUUUCUAAUAUACAGUGAGAGAAUGUGACUGAUAAAACCAAUUUUCUUGAGACUUUCUCCCUGGAAAGUGAAUAUAUGUAUUCAUAGGGCCUUCACAAGCACAGACUAACAAGCAAAGAGCUACAUUCACUGGGAAGGAAGACUCAAAAGUAAGUGAAAAAUAAUAGUUAACCUUUAGAUGUUGUGCAAUAAAUUAUUUUUAAUUACAUUAAAUCAAAAUAGUGUUAAAAUAUUUUCAGGUAAACCUAGUAUAUUUACUAAUAAAUUUAAGUCUUCAUAAAUAUAAAGAUAGAUCAAUGUAAAUGUAAAAAUCAUUUGUUAAACUCCAGAGAUUAUAUAAACAAAAGGUGAACCUAAUGUAAAACUGUGGACUUUAGUUGAAAAUAAUGUGUCACUAUUCUUUCAUGGGUUGUAACAAAUGUGCCACACUAAUGUAAGAUGUUAAUAAUAGCAGAAAUAGGGGGGAGAGAGGAGGGAUCUAGGAGCUCUCUGGAUUUUCCAUUUUAUUUUGUUAUAAAUCUAAAACUGUUCUUAAAAAUAAUGUCUGUUAAUUUUUUUUUUAAAAAGGAAAGAAGCACUGAUACAUGCUAUGACAUGGAAGAACUCUAAAAAUAUUAGGCUAAGGGAAAGAAGCCACAUACACAUACACAUACACAGAUAGUUUAUGGUUCCAUUUAUAUAAAAUAUUCAGAAUAGAAAAGUUCAUAGGGACAGAAAGUAGAUUACCUGGGGAGUAGGGGGUGAAAAAUGGGUAGUAACUGCUUAAUGGGUAUGAAGUUUCGUUUAGGGCGAUGAAAAUAUUCUGGAACUAGAAAGUGAUGAUGAUGGUCACACAGCAAUGUCACAUAUACAAUACCACAGAACUGUACACUUUAAAAUGGUUAAAGGGUUUUAUUUUAUGUUAUGUAUUUUACCACAAUUGAAAAAAAUGUUUAUUAAAAUUAAUGUGUAAACAUUUGUGGAA
ensembl:lncRNA TSBP1-AS1 TSBP1 and BTNL2 antisense RNA 1